rnacentral:rRNA from 1 species
CCUACGGGAGGCAGCAGUGAGGAAUAUUGGUCAAUGGGCGCGAGCCUGAACCAGCCAAGUAGCGUGAAGGAUGACUGCCCUACGGGUUGUAAACUUCUUUUAUAAAGGAAUAAAGUGAGGUACGUGUGCCUGUUUGCAUGUACUUUAUGAAUACGGAUCGGCUAACUCCGUGCCAGCAGCCGCGGUAAUACGGAGGAUCCGAGCGUUAUCCGGAUUUAUUGGGUGUAAAGGGAGCGUAGACGGGUUGUUAAGUCAGUUGUGAAAGUUUGCGGCUCAACCGUAAAAUUGCAAUUGAUACUGGCAGUCUUGAGUACAGUUGAGGUAGGCGGAAUUCGUGGUGUAGCGGUGAAAUGCUUAGAUAUCACGAAGAACACCGAUUGCGAAGGCAGCUUACUAAACUGCCACUGACAUUGAUGCUCGAAAGUGUGGGUAGCAAACAGGAUUAGAUACCCGAGUAGUC